AACUUACAUUUUAACAUAAGGUCUUGGUCUUAAACCUCUUAUUAUCUAAACUCUAUACUUAUACAUGCAAGCCUCAACACACCGGUGAAAUAGCCCACCACUAACACAUAAGGAGCUGAUAUCAGACUAACCACCCAUGACAUCAAGCAACCAAGCCACACCCCCACGGGUCCACAGCAGUAAUUAAUAUUGGGCAAUAAACGCAAGCUUGACCCAGCAAUAGAGUUACAGAGCCGGUUAAUCUCGUGCCAGCGACCGCGGUUACACGACAGGCUCAAGACAAUAUACCCGGCGUAAAGCACGACUAGAAUUUAGUCACCCCACUAGAGAAGAAGAAAGACUUGGCCGUAAAAAGCCAUAAGUCACACUAACCAUAAGCUCUAGUAUCAAACAUCUUCAACUCGUGAAAAUUAGGAAACAAACUAAGAUUAGAUACCUUACUAUGCCUAACCUUAACAAAACAAUCAAAUCACUAAUUGUUCGCCAAAUAACUACGAGCAAAAGCUUAAAAUUUAAAAGACUUGACGGUACUUCACACCAACCUAGAGGAGCCUGUCUACUAACCGAUAACCCACGAUUAACCCAACCCGCUCUCGCCCAACAGUCUAUAUACCGCCGUCGCCAGCUUACCUUGUGAAAGAACCAAAGCAAGCUCAAUAACACACAUUAACACGACAGGUCGAGGUGUAACUAAUGAGCCGGACUAAGAUGGGCUACAUUUUCUAACCCAGAAUAAACGAAUAGACUAUGAAACUAGAAACUGAAGGCGGAUUUAGCAGUAAGUUGGAUAUAGAUACGCCCAACCGAAACCAUCGCAAUGAAGUGCGUACACACCGCCCGUCAUCCCUGUGAAAUUUUCCAUUAAAUUCAUAAACACCCCAUCUCACCUUAAAGCAGGGCAAGUCGUAACACGGUAAGCGUACUGAAA
rnacentral:ncRNA from 1 species